rnacentral:rRNA from 1 species
UGUAACGCUGGCGGCGUGCUAUCAUUCAAGUCGAACGGGGAGGAGCAUCCUUCUAUGGCGAACGGGUGAGUACGCGUUGGUGACCUGCCCCGUGAGUGUGGGAUACCAGGCCGAAAGGCUUGCUAAUACCGCAUGCCCAAGAGGCUUUUAGAAGGCUUUUUGGAAAGGAGUAAUCCGCUCUGGGAGGGGCCUGCGACCCAUCAGCUAGUUGGUAAGGUAACGGCUUACCAAGGCGAUGACGGGUAGGGGACCUGAGAGGGUGGCCCCCCACAAUGGACCUGAAACACGGUCCAUACACCUACGGGUGGCAGCAGUAGGGAAUAUUGCUUAAUGGGCGCAAGCCUGAAGCAGCAACGCCGCGUGUGCGAUGAAGGCCUUCGGGUUGUAAAGCACUUUUGACCGGGAAGAGGAAGGACGGUACCGGUCGAAUAAGCCUCGGCUAACUACGUGCCAGCAGCCGCGGUAAAACGUAGGAGGCGAGCGUUAUCCGGAUUUACUGGGUGUAAAGCGCGUGCAGGCGGGUGGA